rnacentral:rRNA from 1 species
CCGCGUGGGGGAUGAAUGCCUUCGGGUUGUAAACCCCUUUCAGCAGGGACGAAGCGAAAGUGACGGUACCUGCAGAAGAAGCGCCGGCUAACUACGUGC